AUGGCUCCAGGAUCGGGCGAGCGGCCACCUUCCAUGAAGGGAAGUUUGACCACUCCGCCGGCAACCUUUGUCUACACAGAGCUUCCGGGUGUCCUGUUGACAGUGCUAAAGAACGCGUCCGUCGUUGAUGAACAUCGGACCCUUAUGGGUGCGGUGGUUGGAAAGAUUCAGGCUGCCGAAAGCGGGUUGAAUGAGUCUUGUCUUGGCCUUAUAAAGGCCUUUGAGGCGUUUGCCGAGAGGACGACCGCUCAUGAUGCGGAAGUGUCCGAACUGAAAGAGAGCCUGAAACGGGCCAAAGAAGAACUUGGCCGUGUGAAGAAGCAAUUGGAGGAGAAGCAAGGAGCGACUGCCGAAUAUGAGGCGCUGAAGAAGGCAGCGGCUGAUGCCCAAGAGAAGGCUGCCGCCGAACAGGCGCUGCGUGAAAAACACGAGCCAGGGUCAUCAUAG
rnacentral:rRNA from 1 species